CAGUAGCCACGGUAAUACGAAGGGUGCAAGCGUUAAUCGGAAUUACUGGGCGUAAAGCGUGCGUAGGCGGUGAGUUAAGUCUGCUGUGAAAUCCCCGGGCUCAACCUGGGAAUGGCAGUGGAUACUGGCUCGCUAGAGUGUGUCAGAGGAUGGUGGAAUUCCCGGUGUAGCGGUGAAAUGCGUAGAGAUCGGGAGGAACAUCAGUGGCGAAGGCGGCCAUCUGGGACAACACUGACGCUGAGGCACGAAAGCGUGGGGAGCAAACAGGAUUAGAGACCCCCGUAGUCCCUGUCUCUUAUAC
rnacentral:rRNA from 1 species